AGCAAAACAUCCCAUACUUCCAUUUUUCAUCUGCCUUGUUUUGCGUGAGAAUUUUCAAUAUUUAAAUUUAUUUCUGGCAACAGGAUGAAAAAUGAAAGGACGAGAUGUUUUGCUCAGUUUGCUCCACCUGGGAUCCGGAGGUGAUCCCAGUCCGCCAAAACCUACCAACGCAUGAUGUGAUGUCUUUCUUAAAUUCUUCUGAUAGUAUGUGGCAAUCUAAAGUCAUCACGUGAGCCCCAAGUUUACAACACUGUAUUUUAUACAUUAUAUAAGUCAGCAAUUCGAUCAUGAUCGAUAACGCAUGUUUGUGCGACUGUGAACACCCUGGGGAGAGGAGCAAUAAAGAAAAGCUACUGUAAACCACAUAUACAAAUAGGAACCAAACUCUCAAACUUAAGAUCUGACGCCUAACUAAAUGGAGGAGCCGCUGCUCGACACAGCUGCCGGCAGCGCUGCCGAGUUGAGCAGUAAGCAUCCUAUGUACGAAGGUGAGACUGAAGACUACGCGCCCGUGAGGAGCUUUGAUGCGCUCCGGCGUAUUUUUUGGAUAGAGACGGUGAAGAUGUGGUAAAUAGGAGGUUCGACAGUUAUCACUAUCAUGUGUAUGGGACUAACGCAGUCAUCCUGCUCUUUGCCGGACAUCUCGAAACUGUUGAGCUCUCUGCCAUCUCCAUUUCUCUAGCCGUCAUUUCCACCUUCACUUAUGGAUUCAUGCUUGAUGGGGAGUGCUUUGGAGACCCUGUGUGGACAAGCAUUUGGUGCUGGACAAAUUCCCAUGCUUGGGAUCUACAUGCAACGCUCAUGGAUAAUCUUAUUCGUAACCUGCUUCUUACCCUUGCCGAUUUACAUCUUCGCUACACCGAUUCUGAGGUGGCUAGGCCAAGAAGACGACAUAGUGAUUGAAGCCGGAAAGUAUACCCUCCAAAUAAUCCCCCAAUUAUUCUCACUUUCCUUAACUUUCCCAGCUCAGAAGUUCCUCCAGGCUCAGAUGAAGGUGAAGGUGCUGGCAUGGAUUGCAGUCUUGGCCCUGGCCAUGCACAAUGGAAUGCUAGCGCUCUUCAUGUAUGUGUUUGAUUGGGGCGCAUUAGGGGCAGCUGUACCUUUUUACAUCACAAGAUGGGGGAUUGCAAUUGCACAGGUUGUGUAUAUUAUGGGUUGGACUGGAUUUUCAUGGCUUGCAUUCAAUGAGAUUUGGGCAUUUAAUUAACCAUCUUAGUUUUUGCCCCCAUUACCCUUCCUAUGACACACCGGAAACGUUACUCUGAUAGUAUUCUAAGUCAAUAAUAUAAUAUGGUGAAGAAAAAUUUAAACAUAUGACAAUGAGUUAUUAGUUUGGAAUUAAUACCGCUACAAUGAUGUAUCCAAUGUAAGUAAGUUCCCUUUUUCAUGGUCCAUGAGCUUUUGAUUUCUAAUAGCAUUUUCCUCCCUUUUGGGUUUCCUUAGCAUGAACAUCAACGGGUGGGAAGGAAUGUUGUUCGUUGGAUUAAAUGUUGCAAUAGGGUGAAACAUUGGAUUAGCAGUUCUCUGGUAUGCAAUUCUCUCUUACUAUUUUGGAUUGUUUAUAACAUCUUUAUUUUCUUAUGUAGUGUUCGUGUUUAUAAUGAGUUUGGAUCAAGACACCCUAGAACAACCAAAUACAUUGUUUACGUGACAGUAUUUUAAUAUCUCUUAAUUGGGAUUCUUUUCAUGAUUAUUAUUUUAAUAACCAAAGAUGAUAUUACCUUACUUUUCACAAGUGACAAGGAGCUGCAACAAGCGGUCGCUAAGCUUGCAUAUCUUCUUGGUAUAACUACGGUGCUCAAUAGUGUCCAACCAAUAAUAUCAGGUGUUGCAAUUGGAGGUGGAUGGCAGGGAAUGGUAGCUUAUAUAAACUUAGGUUGCUACUACCUUUUUAAACUUCCUCUUGGAUGCGUUCUUUGCCAUGUUGCAAAUUUGGGAGUCAUGGUGGAGCAAGCAACAAAUCGUGUCCGGAAGUGGGGAGGGAAAGAUAUUAGAACUGUGAAUGGAGCUGAAAGUACUUGAAAUUCCCUUUUCUUUUUAUGGGGUAUAUUAAAGUCUUUGCUCCAUUUAAUGAUGCAACUAUUUUGAUGAGGAGAAAACAUGUGAAAGAGGAAGGUUUAGUCGGCGGCAAGAAUUAGAGGUGAUUCCGCCCGCGACGGGGUGUGGGGUGAAGGAGGUGGGUAUUUGUCGGGGUUGCAUGUGUUGUUUGUCGAGCGUAGUUGGUCAAAGCAAUUUUGCACAACAAAAUGGUCAUCGAAAUUUUUAUUGAGCAAAAUAUCAUUGUCUGACGGUUUUUAAUUUUCAACAAUAAACCUUUGAGUGACUACUUUUGCUUGAUAAAAUUACUUCGUCCUGCAAAGGGUUUUUUUUUUUUUUUUUUUUUUUGGUAGUGUGUGUAUAUGUUUUGUUUAUGUUAUCCUUUCUGCUUUAAGUUUUAUGUACGCCCUUAAUUGGUUAAAAGGUUAUCAUGCCUAGGUGUUGCAUCUAGUCUUUAUGCUACUUAUUCCUACUCAUUAGAAAAAUUACGAGAAAUUUUGGAGUGCCAUAUAUUAUAGACAUAGGACGUCAUAUUAACAAAUCACAUGUGUAAGAAGAGUUAUCAAUAAAAUCUCUUCCGUACCGUCGCGGUUUCAAAA